rnacentral:rRNA from 1 species
GACGAACGCUGGCGGCGUGCUUAACACAUGCGAGUCGAACGGAAAGGCCCUGCUUUUGUGGGGUGCUCGAGUGGCGAACGGGUGAGUAACACGUGAGUAACCUGCCCUUGACUUUGGGAUAACUUCAGGAAACUGGGGCUAAUACCGGAUAGGAGCUCCUGCUGCAUGGUGGGGGUUGGAAAGUUUCGGCGGUUGGGGAUGGACUCGCGGCUUAUCAGCUUGUUGGUGGGGUAGUGGCUUACCAAGGCUUUGACGGGUAGCCGGCCUGAGAGGGUGACCGGCGACAUUGGGACUGAGAUACGGACCAGACUCCUACGGGAGGCAGCAGUGGGGAAUAUUGCACAAUGGGCGGAAGCCUGAUGCAGCAACGCCGCGUGCGGGAUGACGGCCUUCGGGUUGUAAACCGCUUUCGCCUGUGACGAAGCGUGAGUGACGGUAAUGGGUAAAGAAGCACCGGCUAACUACGUG